UUAUUGGAGAGUUUGAUCCUGGCUCAGGACGAACGCUGGCGGCGUGCCUAAUACAUGCAAGUCGAGCGGACUUGAUGAGGAGCUUGCUCCUCUGAUGGUUAGCGGCGGACGGGUGAGUAACACGUAGGCAACCUGCCCGUAAGACUGGGAUAACUACCGGAAACGGUAGCUAAUACCGGAUAAUUUAUUUCACCGCAUGGUGGAAUAAUGAAAGGCGGAGCAAUCUGUCACUUACGGAUGGGCCUGCGGCGCAUUAGCUAGUUGGUGGGGUAACGGCUCACCAAGGCGACGAUGCGUAGCCGACCUGAGAGGGUGAACGGCCACACUGGGACUGAGACACGGCCCAGACUCCUACGGGAGGCAGCAGUAGGGAAUCUUCCGCAAUGGACGAAAGUCUGACGGAGCAACGCCGCGUGAGUGAUGAAGGUUUUCGGAUCGUAAAGCUCUGUUGCCAGGGAAGAACGUCCGUUAGAGUAACUGCUAGCGGAGUGACGGUACCUGAGAAGAAAGCCCCGGCUAACUACGUGCCAGCAGCCGCGGUAAUACGUAGGGGGCAAGCGUUGUCCGGAAUUAUUGGGCGUAAAGCGCGCGCAGGCGGCUAUUUAAGUCUG
rnacentral:rRNA from 1 species